UUGAACGCUGGCGGCAUGCCUUACCCAUGCAAGUCGCACGGUAACGGGCCUUCGGGUGCCGCCGAGUGGCGAACGGGUGAGUAAUACAUCGGAACGUGCCCGAUCGUGGGGGAUAACGAGGCGAAAGCUUUGCUAAUACCGCAUACGAUCUACGGAUGAAAGCAGGGGACCGCAAGGCCUUGCGCGGACGGAGCGGCCGAUGGCAGAUUAGGUAGUUGGUGGGAUAAAAGCUUACCAAGCCGACGAUCUGUAGCUGGUCUGAGAGGAUGAUCAGCCACACUGGGACUGAGACACGGCCCAGACUCCUACGGGAGGCAGCAGUGGGGAAUUUUGGACAAUGGGCGCAAGCCUGAUCCAGCCAUGCCGCGUGCAGGAUGAAGGCCUUCGGGUUGUAAACUGCUUUUGUACGGAACGAAAAGCCUUCUUUUAAUACAGGAGGGUCAUGACGGUACCGUAAGAAUAAGCACCGGCUAACUACGUG
rnacentral:rRNA from 1 species